rnacentral:rRNA from 1 species
AGAAUCAACGCUGGCGGCGUGCCUAACACAUGCAAGUCGAACGAGAAAGUGGUAGCAAUACCAUGAGUACAGUGGCGCACGGGUGAGUAACACGUGACUAACCUACCCUGGAGUGGGGGAUAACUGAGGGAAACCUUAGCUAAUACCGCAUAAUACCUACGGGUCAAAGGAGCAAUUCGCUUCAGGAGGGGGUCGCGGCCGAUUAGUUAGUUGGCGGGGUAAUGGCCCACCAAGACAGUGAUCGGUAUCCGGCCUGAGAGGGCGCACGGACACACUGGAACUGAAACACGGUCCAGACUCCUACGGGAGGCAGCAGUGGGGAAUUUUGCGCAAUGGGGGAAACCCUGACGCAGCAACGCCGCGUGGAGGAUGAAGUCCUUCGGGACGUAAACUCCUUUCGAUCGGGACGAUAAUGACGGUACCGGAAGAAGAAGCCCCGGCUAACUUCGUGCCAGCAGCCGC